UUUCACAAAGAGGUAGGGCUAAGCUAUAAGCUUUAGGUGGACCCUAAUAAAAUGGUUCAUCGAAACAACCCAAGAGGUUUCCAUUCCCCUGGAGAAGAGGAUGUUGCAGCAGGCAGCCAAAACCAGCAGCAUGCUAGACCACGGCUAGCUAGAUCUUGGCGAAGAAGGUGUAGACAGACAGCUUCAGAGUGGCAAGGAGGAGACCAAGCCAGGGCCUUACAAGUCUACAGAUUUAGGAGUCGUGCCCCAUCUACCAGUGUGCACUGCAGUGGUGAAGGCUCUUUGGGGCUCUCUAGGAUUCCUGCACCAAGGGAGGAUGGAAAGAUUGUGGAAAUGCUGGCUAGGUCUGCCAGCUAUUGGGUACAGCAAGAACCUGCUCGAUGUUGGGUCAGAGACUGCACUGGGCUGACCUGCUCAGCAGCAGGUCAUCCUCUGAGGACACAUCUGUUACAACACCAUCUCCUAGGUGAAGAAGACAGCUUGACCUCCCUGAUAAGAGAGGAAUUUCUCUCAGUGGAUGAAGGCAAUGAUGGCAGCACUGGGGACUCUGGGACAGCCAGCUCCCAGGCAGAUGCUAGAAGUGAUGAUGCUCCCAGGAGUUUUGCAGAGGAGUAUUCAUUGGCUCCCUUAAAUACACGAAAGAAAUAUUCUGCUCAGAGUUUUGACCAGCAAGUAGAAAAUUAUUUUAAACGGCUCUGAGCUUCACCACAUCUGUUGUUUGGAAUUCUGGAGCCAAAUCUGUUGGAGAUGCAAAUGCCAGUCUUCAUGUGCACAGUUUAUAGCAAUACAGGCCGAAGCCUUCAGCAAAACCAUGAAGGUUCAAAUAGGGUAAAGCCCAGUAUAUUGCUCUUAGAUUGACAGACAGCUAGAAAGACAAAACUGUAAUGCAAAUAGCUCUUUCAUAUGACUUGCUGCCUUCUUUGGGAGUUUAAAAACCUGUAAUAAUCGUAAGGCAUUAAAAAUGGAAAAAUGACUUUGAGUCUAAGCUAAUGUAAUGACUAUUUCUUUUGCAAUUGUAAGGGAUAUACCAAGAAAUAUGGCUGUAUUUUGUCUCUUUCUCAGCAGUAGAGUCUCUUUUUAAUAACUUCUUGAAGGAUAUUUGAAAUUCAAAGCCCUCGUAUAUGCCUGUAUUUCCUUUCACAAGUGCUUUAAUUUACUGUAUAGAGGCCUAGAGGGUUAGUAUUUUUGUGUGGUUUUUUCUUGAUCUGCAUCUGAAAAUUCUACUCCACUGCAUAGCUGCUUAUAUAUGAAUAAUCAAAUAUAUGUACAAUAAUGUGAGACAGCUAAAGCACAUCCUGCUUAAAAAAGAAAAAGGAAACCCACACCCUCUAGCUGUGGUUAACUUGUCACAUAAAUAAAAAAAAAAUUUUGGAGGACCUUAUUGAAUUUUUCUGUUCUUGUGAGAUAGUGUGUAGCUGAAAAUCACAAUCUGGAUUUCUCAGCUUAGAAAUCAGCUGAGAAACUUCAGCUUGGAAUUUUUUCCUUUAUUUAGCCAAUGGGUAGACUUUAGAAAUAUAGCUUAGCCUAACAGUAAAACUACAGUGCAUGGUUACUGGAAAACAGGUAUACUUCAGGAACUAAUCUUUCAUGUUAUCUGGAAAUGCAUCCUAUUGACAAGGUUUGGCUAUGUCUCAAAGGUGACUCUCUUUACAAUGAACAGACUUGAAAUAUUGGAUAUAAUUAAAAAAUAGACUUUUGAAGCAAGAUUUUGGUAGUGGAUUUUCUUUCUGUACCUUGGUAGGUAGAUAAUCAUAUAAAUUAUCUCUAUUAUUGCUCACUUGGUUUGUGCAGCUUCUGCUAUAACCCUUUUUAAUGGUCACAUAUUUGCAGUGUAUUGCUUUUUGCAUGGUUAAACUUCUGCAAGCAAAGAGUGAGUCUUCUGUUUUGGAUGACAGGAGCGGAAACAAAGGGGUGGUGGCUGUCUAUUCUGUCCAUAGCACAUAGGAGCUGUGCUGUUGCAGGAAAAAGACAGUCAAUGUCAUGAAGAUACUGCAAAUGCUUGCAUCCUAAUCCAACAUACCAAUAAAUGAUAUGCUUAACCUCUAAAGAAGGCUUGUUGACUUCGCUUAACC